rnacentral:rRNA from 1 species
UACGUAGGGCGCAAGCGUUAUCCGGAUUUAUUGGGCGUAAAGAGCUCGUAGGUGGUUCGGUAAGUCAGGUGUGAAACCUCCAGGCUCAACCUGGAGACGCCACUUGAUACUGCUGUGACUGGAGUCCGGUAGGGGAGCGUGGAAUUCCUGGUGUAGCGGUGAAAUGCGCAGAUAUCAGGAGGAACACCAGCGGCGAAGGCGGCGCUCUGGGCCGGUACUGACACUGAGGAGCGAAAGCGUGGGUAGCAAACAGG